rnacentral:rRNA from 1 species
CCUACGGGUGGCAGCAGUGAGGAAUUUUGGUCAAUGGGCGCGAGCCUGAACCAACCAAGUCGCGUGAGGGAAGACGGUCCUAUGGAUUGUAAACCUCUUUCGUCGGGGAGCAAAAGACGCCACGCGUGGCGUUCCGAGAGUACCCGAAGAAAAAGCAUCGGCAAACUCCGGGCCAGCAGCCGUGGCAAUACGGAGGAGGCGAGAGUUAUCCGGAUGUAUUGGGUUUAAGGGGUGCGCAGGCGGAAGAUAAAGUCAGCGGUAAAAUUGAGAGGCUCAACCUCUUCGGGCCGUUGAAACUGGUUUUCUUGAGUGAGCGAGAGGGAUGCGGAAUGCGUGGUGUAGCGGUGAAAUGCAUAGAUAUC